UAGUGCCUGAGGGCUUCGUCCAUGUUCGCGUCGGCCGUCGUCGCGUGUGCCACGAAGUUGACGCGCUGUCUCUU